rnacentral:rRNA from 1 species
CAGCAGCCGCGGGAAUACGUAGGGUGCAAGCGUUAAUCGGAAUUACUGGGCGUAAAGCGUGCGCAGGCGGUUAUAUAAGACAGAUGUGAAAUCCCCGGGCUCAACCUGGGAACUGCAUUUGUGACUGUAUAGCUAGAGUACGGCAGAGGGGGAUGGAAUUCCGCGUGUAGCAGUGAAAUGCGUAGAUAUGCGGAGGAACACCGAUGGCGAAGGCAAUCCCCUGGGCCUGUACUGACGCUCAUGCACGAAAGCGUGGGGAGCAAACAGGAUUAGAUACCCCCGUAGUCCCUGUCUCUUUACC